UACGGGGGGGGCAAGCGUUGUUCGGAAUUACUGGGCGUAAAGGGCUCGUAGGUGGCCAACUAAGUCGGACGUGAAAUCCCUCAGCUUAACUGGGGAACUGCGUCCGAUACUGGAUGGCUUGAGUUUGGGAGAGGGAUGCGGAAUUCCAGGUGUAGCGGUGAAAUGCGUAGAUAUCUGGAGGAAUACCGGUGGCGAAGGCGGCAUCCUGGACCGAGAUUGACGCUGAUGAGCGAAAGCUAGGGGAGCAAACGGG
rnacentral:rRNA from 1 species